ensembl:misc_RNA Metazoa_SRP Metazoan signal recognition particle RNA
GUCAGGCAUGGUGGUGCUCAGCUGUAGUCCCAGCUACUAAGGAGGCUGAGGCAGGAGGAUCAUUUGAGCCUAGGAGUUUAGGCUGUAGUAUGCUAUGCCUAUUGGGUGUCUGCACUAAGUUCACCAUCAAUAUGGUGACCUCCCAGGAGCAGGUGACCACCAAGUUGCCUAAGAGUGGUGAACACAGAUUGGAAACAGAGCAGGUCAAAACUCCUGUGCUGAUCAAGGGUGGGAUCAUGCCUGUGAAUAGCCACCACACUCUAGCCUAGGCAGCAUAGUGAGACCCUGG